GUCUUUGAGGUCAGGCUCUGGAAUCAUUAGUUAAAAGUCAAUACUGUACAGUGCAAGAUAAUUGUCAAGUACCUGAAAUAUUGACAUGAGGUGGUUGGGUUAUAUUAUUUUGUUUCUCCAAUGGACAUUCUGUGCUUCCCAAAAGGAGAUUCCAAGAUCCUGUGGUCCACCACCUGUUAUUGAUAAUUCAAUACAAAGGCAAUAUAUCCGGCAAGUAUUCCCAUCUGGUUCUGAUGUGUUUUAUCAGUGCUACAGGUUAUAUGAGAUGGAAGGAACACCACGUGCAAUGUGCUUAAAUGGUCAAUGGAGAGGAGUGCCUAGGUGUGUUGAGACCUGUAAAGCAGAGGAAACAGAGAUGGACCAAAACAAUAUAUAUCUAAAACAUAUUACUAAAUCAACGUCUCAUAUAACAUCUGACUACUGGAUGUAUUUUGAUUGUAAACCGGGAUAUCGCAAGGAUCCAUUAUCAUCUCCUUUUACAAAGCAAUGUGUACGAGGAGUGUGGGUGUAUCCAAGAUGCAUAUUAUGAACUGGAAUCUGAAUGAUAAGCUUGCGUUGAACAGAUGAAGUUUAGCAGUAAAUGGAGAUCAAAUCACUUGAUAUUUGCUUACUAGAGAUCUGAAGACAAGGAGAACUUGGAUAGCUCCCUCUCAUCAAUGUGUGCAAUUCAGUCUGUGUUCAGUUGUUUUUUGGCUUUGCUUCUGUCUUUUCUUCCUCUCCAGUUUUCCAGACUCCAAACUUUCUUGUGCAUCCAAAGAACACUCUCCUUAAAGGCCCUGGGCUUUGAUUUUCUCAGUCACCUUUCCAUUUGCCCUUCCCUUUUAAAUACUAAGCCUCCACCACCCACUUCUUUCUGUUUAACUCACUAGAAUCUCUUUCUCUGUUUGCCCAUCUUGAUUUUCAAUCAAUAUCCCACACACUUAAUGCUUUUCUUGUCCAGAAAGAUCCCUCCCUAUCCCAGAAGCUUUCCUAAUCCUCCUCCUUCAUCAGGCCUACUCCUUCUUCCUCAAGCCCUUAAAUCUGACAUCUAUCUCUUUGUCUGGGUUGGCAGUGCACUUCUGCCUCCUUUUUCUGGAAACGAAAUGUCAAAUUGUUGCUAUAAACACAUCUAAAAAUAAAGAUAUUUUAAAAUUAGAAAA